AUGUCUUCUCUGAUCUUCUUUGGGGAGAGACCGAGAGGACCGAUCUUUGGGGAGAGGGAAUUGGUGGCGUCGACUUCAACGACCUGGGAUGGAUCGACUUUUGGAGGCAUUGUCGAUGAUGGAAGAGAAGACGAUGUGAUUAGGGUUUUGCAGUUUGCUGAAGUUUGGGUGUUUUUUGCAGGUCUUGUAGAUGGUGAGAGGACAUGGGCUGUGAAGGAAUCGAGUUAG